AUAAUGGGUCAGCGACUUAUAUUCUGUAGCAAGGUUAACCGAAUAGGGGAGCCGAAGGGAAACCGAGUCUUAACUGGGCGUUAAGUUGCAGGGUAUAGACCCGAAACCCGGUGAUCUAGCCAUGGGCAGGUUGAAGGUUGGGUAACACUAACUGGAGGACCGAACCGACUAAUGUUGAAAAAUUAGCGGAUGACUUGUGGCUGGGGGUGAAAGGCCAAUCAAACCGGGAGAUAGCUGGUUCUCCCCGAAAGCUAUUUAGGUAGCGCCUCGUGAAUUCAUCUCCGGGGGUAGAGCACUGUUUCGGCAAGGGGGUCAUCCCGACUUACCAACCCGAUGCAAACUGCGAAUACCGGAGAAUGUUAUCACGGGAGACACACGGCGGGUGCUAACGUCCGUCGUGAAGAGGGAAACAACCCAGACCGCCAGCUAAGGUCCCAAAGUCAUGGUUAAGUGGGAAACGAUGUGGGAAGGCCCAGACAGCCAGGAUGUUGGCUUAGAAGCAGCCAUCAUUUAAAGAAAGCGUAAUAGCUCACUGGUCGAGUCGGCCUGCGCGGAAGAUGUAACGGGGCUAAACCAUGCACCGAAGCUGCGGCAGCGACGCUGAUGCGUUGUUGGGUAGGGGAGCGUUCUGUAAGCCUGUGAAGGUGUGCUGUGAGGCAUGCUGGAGGUAUCAGAAGUGCGAAUGCUGACAUAAGUAACGAUAAAGCGGGUGAAAAGCCCGCUCGCCGGAAGACCAAGGGUUCCUGUCCAACGUUAAUCGGGGCAGGGUGAGUCGACCCCUAAGGCGAGGCCGA
rnacentral:rRNA from 1 species